rnacentral:lncRNA from 1 species
AGACAUGCCCAAAGUCUAUGAAAGCAACAUGGUCACAGAAGCCCACAUGGCUGGAAAUGGAGGGACGCAUGCUACCGUGUCUUGGAGAGUCAUAAGAUACAACCCCCAGGUAGUGUACCAGAAAAGAAGUUUAACAAGAAGCUCAGGGGAAGGUGGCCCAGGUCUUCCAGGUUUCCUGAGUCUGGCCCAGGAGGACUGGAGAAAACUGAUGGAUAGUCUCCUUUUACAUUGCACCCUCUGUGUAUCUCUUAGUACUCAAGUCAACACUCCAAAGCAGAGGUUUCUCUCUACAGAGAAACCAGGAUUCAAAGAGAUGUCAGCUCUUGUUCAAGGUCUUAUCCUGGGUCAAUUUCAGGCCUAUGGCCUCUGAUGUCCAGUUCAGUUCACUGCCUUGUACUCAGAGGCUACUCAAGAGCUCAUCUCCUACCCAAAGCAGCAGCUGAAACAUCUGCUCUUCUCAGCGGGAGAAGCCAGUGCUCAGGCACGAAGCCAGUUAC